rnacentral:rRNA from 1 species
UACGGAGGGAGCUAGCGUUGUUCGGAAUUACUGGGCGUAAAGCGCACGUAGGCGGCUAUUCAAGUCGGGGGUGAAAGCCCGGGGCUCAACCCCGGAAUUGCCCUCGAAACUAGAUAGCUAGAAUCUUGGAGAGGUCAGUGGAAUUCCGAGUGUAGAGGUGAAAUUCGUAGAUAUUCGGAAGAACACCAGUGGCGAAGGCGACUGACUGGACAAGUAUUGACGCUGAGGUGCGAAAGCGUGGGGAGCAAACAGG